rnacentral:rRNA from 1 species
GACGAACGCUGGCGGCGUGCUUAACACAUGCAAGUCGAACGGAAAGGCCCUCCUUUUCUUGUGUGCUCGAGUGGCUAACGUGUGAGUAACACGUGAGUCACCUGCCCUUUCCUCUGGCAUCAUUUCAGUAAACUUGGGCUACUACCGCUUAUUCGCUCCUGCUCCAUGGUGUGGUUCGUAUAGUUUCGGCGGUUGGGGUUGGACUCGCGGCUUAUCAGCCUGCGUGUGGGCUAGUGGCUUGCCAAGGCUGGGACGGGUGGCCGGCCUGAGAGGGUGGCCGGGCACAUUGGGCCAGAGAUACGGCCCAGACUCCUACGGGAAGCAGCAGUGGGGAGGAUUACACAAUGGGCGGAAGCCUGAUGCAGGAACGACGGGUGCGGGAUGACGGACUUCGGGUGGUAAACCGCUUGCGCCUGUGAUGAAGGGUGAGUGACGGUAAUGGGUAAAGAAGCACCGGCUAACUACGUG